rnacentral:rRNA from 1 species
UACAGAGGGUGCGAGCGUUAAUCGGAAUUACUGGGCGUAAAGCGUGCGUAGACGGUAGCGUAAGUCAGAUGUGAAAGCCCCGGGCUCAACCUGGGAAUUGCAUUCGAGACUGCAUGGCUAGGGUGCGGAAGAGGGAAGCGGAAUUUCCGGUGUAGCGGUGAAAUGCGUAGAUAUCGGAAGGAACAUCAGUGGCGAAAGCGGCUUCCUGGUCCAGCACCGACGUUCAGGCACGAAAGCGUGGGGAGCAAACAGG